UCAGCCGUGCGCGACUAGAGCCGAGGAGCGGAAGUUGGCUUCGGAGCGGCCUGGCGUCUGGGGAAGGGCCGCGGGUGGCAGCGGCCUCUGCUUCCGCAGACUGAGGGCAGCACGAUGGGAGACGAGAUGGAUGCCAUGAUCCCGGAGCGCGAGAUGAAGGAUUUUCAGUUUAGAGCGCUGAAGAAAGUGCGAGUCUUCGACUCCCCUGAGGAGCUGCCCAAGGAACGCUCAAACCUGCUUGCCAUAUCCAACAAGUAUGGGCUGCUCUUUGCUGGUGGAGCCAGUGGGCUACAGGUUUUCUCUACGAAAAACUUGCUUAUUCAGAACAAACCUGGAGAUGAUCCCAAUAAAAUAGUGGACAAGGUUCAGAGUCUGCUCGUCCCUAUGAAAUUCCCAGUACACCACCUGGCCCUGAGCUGCGACAGCCUCACGCUGUCGGUGUGCAUGAUGUCCGGGGAAUACGGCCCCAUCAUCGCCUUCUUUGAUGUCCGGACGUUCUCAAACGAGGCUAAACAGCAGAAACGCCCAUUUGCCUAUCACAAGCUUGCGAGGGAUGCAGGCGGCAUGGUGAUCGACAUGAAGUGGAACCCCGCCGUCCCAUCCAUGGUGGCAGUUUGUCUGGCCGAUGGCAGCAUCGCUGUCCUGCAAGUCACAGACGUGGUGAAAGUGUGUGCCACUCUUCCUCCCACAGUGGCAGUAACAUCAGUGUGCUGGAGCCCCAAGGGAAAGCAGCUGGCCGUGGGAAAACAGAACGGAACCGUGGUCCAGUACCUUCCUACCUUACAGGAAAAAAAAGUGAUUCCCUGUCCUCCAUUUUAUGAGGCGGAUCAUCCCGUGAGAGUGCUGGACGUGCUGUGGAUCGGGACCUAUGUCUUCACCAUCGUCUAUGCCGCUGCAGAUGGGACCUUGGAGACGUCUCCAGAGGUGGUGAUGGCGCUGCUUCCGAAAAAGGAAGAGAAGCACCCAGAGAUCUUUGUGAACUUCAUGGAGCCUUGCUAUGGCAGCUGUGCCGAGAGGCAGCACCAUUACUACCUCAGCUACGUGGAGGAGUGGGAUCUGGUGUUGGCAGCAUCCGCAGCUUCAACAGAAGUCAGUAUCCUUGCUCGGCAAAGCGACCAGGUUAAUUGGGAAUCUUGGCUUCUGGAGGACUCCAGUCGGGCCGAGCUGCCCGUGACAGACAAGAGUGAUGACUCCCUGCCCAUAGGAGUGGCCGUCGACUAUACCAACCAGGUGGAGGUCGUCAUCAACGAAGAGAAGACUCUUCCUCCAGCCCCAGUUCUCCUGCUGCUUUCAACGGAUGGCGUUCUUUGUCCAUUUUACAUGAUCAAUCAGAACCCCGGGGCGAGGCCCGUCAUCAGGACCCCCGAGCGGCUCUCGCCAGAAGGGGAGCGACAGCCCAAAUCCUCAGGAAGCACUCCCACCACCCCAGUCUCCUCCCAGUCCCUGCCAAAACUGGAUAGCUCCAGCACAGCAGCCCCCGCCUGCCUUCCACCAGUGUCCCCUGCUGCCCCCGGCGCCGCCUUCGGUCUGCCCUCUGCUGGGGGGACCUCGGCCGUGUUCGCCUUUGGCUCCUCGUCCAUGAAGCCCUCUGCGCCUGUCCCCGGGGAGCCCCCUCCGCAUCCCAGCGGCUCUGAUGGCCCCAAGGCAGCCCUGGGCUCCACCACCCCCACCUUCUCCUUGGGGGCCCCCUCCAAGACCUCCCUGGCCACUGCGCCUGCAGCUUCGCCCGUGGCCCCAUCUGCUGCUUCCUUCUUUGGCUCCUCGGGUUUCAAGUCUGCCCUGGAGAGCACCCCGAUGCCCAGCGCAUCUGUGCCAAACGCAGGACUGAAGCCCGUCUUCCCGCCCUCGACUUCUGCCGUCAAGGCGAACCUGAGUGAAAAGUUCACCACCGUGGCCACCUCUGCUCCUGUUCUCAGCUCUCCGAGCGCCCCAGCCAUGCCCUUCUCGUCCACGGCCAAGCCGGCUUCUGGACCGCUCGGCCACACCACACCUCUCUCGGCAGCGCCCAGCUCCGUGUCUCUGAAGCCUGCGCUGGCUCCUGCACCUUCAGUGCGAUCUGCGCAGAGCAGCCCGAGCCCCGUGCCCGCCAUGGUGCAGAAGUCGCCCCGGGUCACCCCGCCAGUGACGAAGGCCAGCUCUCCGCAGCCAAAGUCACUUCAGCCUCCUGUCUCAGAAAAACAGGGGCCUCAGUGGAAAGACUCAGACCCUGUGAUGGCGGGGAUCGGAGAAGAGAUCGCACACUUCCAAAAGGAGCUGGAGGAGCUGAAAGCCCGCACUUCCAAAGCCUGCUUCCAGGUGGGCACCCCGGAGGAGAUGCAGGUGCUGCGGACAGAGUCGGCCGACCUGCACUCCUUCCUUCUGGAGAUUAAAGAGACCACAGAGUCUCUGCACGGAGACAUAAGCACCCUGAAGACAUUCCUGCUCGAGGGCUUUGCUGGUGUGGAAGAAGCCAGGGAGCAGGACGGGAGAAACCACGACUCCGGGUAUCUCCACCUGCUCUACAAGAGGCCGCUGGACCCCAGGAGUGAAGCUCAGCUCCAGGAAAUUCGGCGCCUCCAUCAGUACGUGAAGUUUGCUGUCCAGGACGUGAAUGACGUCCUGGACUUGGAGUGGGAUCGGCAUCUGGAGCAAAAGAAAAAACAAAAGCGCCUGCUUGUGCCAGAGCGAGAGACGCUGUUUAACACCCUGGCCAACCACCGGGAGAUCAUCAACCAGCAGAGGAAGCGGCUGAAUCACCUGGUGGACAGUCUGCAGCAGCUGCGCCUCUACAACCAGACGUUCCAGUGGAGCCUGCCCCUGGCCACGCCGGCCCAGACCAGCACUCCGGGCUUUGACAACGACCUGGAAACCCUGAGCGACGCUUUGUUAAAAACCACCAUCGACUCUCACACCAAGCCCUUGCCCAGAGCGCCAGGUAAACUGUCGCCUGUGAAACAGACACAGCUGAGAAACUUCCUGGCCAAGAGGAAGACGCCACCGGUGAGAUCCACGGCUCCAGCCAGCCUGUCCCGGUCGGCCUUCCUGUCGCAGAGAUACUACGAGGACUUGGACGAAGCCAGCUCCACGUCGUCCAUCUCCCAGUCCCUGGAGGGCGAAGAGGUGCGGGCGUCCUGCAGAGAUGACGAGGCGGUGGCCCAGGUGCCGCGCCACGCACCCGUGGCCCGCACACCCUCUGUCCAGCCGGGCCUCCUGCCCCAGGCGCUGCCUUUUGCCAAAUCCCACCUGAUCCACGGCUCUUCGCCUUCCGCCGUGGAAGCGCCGCUGUCUACACCUGCUGGCAAAGUUAUUCCUCAGGGGGCUGACAGCACAAUGCUGGUGACAAAAACGGUGAAGCACGGUGCUCCCGGGCCCUCCCACCCCAUCGCCGCCCCGCAGGCAGCCGGGGCCGCAGCCCUGAGACGGCAGAUGGCCAAUCAGUCUCCAGCUGUCAGCACCUUGGCCGAAUCGAGCCUGAAGGGCGUGCCUCCGGUGGUCAACGUGCAGGAGUUGAAGAAUAACCCCGCAGCCCCUCCUGCAGCCAUCGGGUCUCCGGUGCUGUACUCCACUGCCAAAACGCCCCACCCCAUGCUGGCCCCGGUGGCUGGCAGCCACGCCAAGCAGGGAUCCCUGAUGAAUUCCCUGAAGCCGUCCGGGCCCAUGCCAGCAUCCAGUCAGCUGUCACCUGCUGAUAAAGCCCCAGGGCCGGGGGCGGCCAAGGCGGAAGCAGCUGUGAGCCCGACGCCGUUUGCCGCGGGGCAGGGCGCCAAGCCCUUCUCGUUCGCACCAUCAGGGACUGGCUUUAAUUUUGGGAUGAUCACACCAGCACCAUCUUCUAAUUUCACGGCCACACCAGGGGCAGCAUCUCCCACCAAAGACUCAAACCAGCUCAACACACUCACCUUCAGUGGGGGCAGCAAACCUUUCCACGAGACGGUCCCCGAAAGCGCCACUCCCUCAGGCCUCGUGCCAGCCCCCAGCGCUGCAAGGACAGCUGCCUCCCUGUGGGAGCCCCCACCCUCCGGCAGCAGGCCCGGGGCACCCCCUGGAUCCCCACUGCCCACUGGCAAGCCAGAAGCCCCACCAUCCAAGCUGGGAGAGCUCUUGUUCCCCACUUCUUUGGCCGGAGAGACGCUGGGAAGCUUCUCAGGGCUUCGUGUGGGCCAAGUGGAGGACUCUGCAAAGUCAGCCAACAAGUCUCCGUCCCCAAGCUUGGCAGGGGCACAGCCAGCCAAGACUCCGAGCACGGCAUCCGGCUUUAGCUUCAGCAGCUCUCCCAUGCUUGGGAAGCCUGCGGAGCCCCCAGCAACCUCUGCUCUGAGCGCCAGCACUGCAGUGCCACUGGCCAGCACCAGCGUGGGCACAGGCGGUCCCUCGGCGGGGGUCUUCAGCAGCCUGCCACUUGCCAGCGGGGGACCCUCUGGCACGGUGGGUUUUGGUGGGGCAUCACUGAGUGGCGGCAAGGCCGUCUUUUCCUUUGGAAGCCAACAGACCAGCGACACUGCACUGUCGCCCACCCUCCCAGUGACGACGCCAGCCGCUCCCCUCCCAGCAUCGUUCCCUACCUUGUCCUUCAGUGGCCUCCUGAGCACAGCACCUGCACCCUCCCUGCCCGCGUACUCUGGGAAGAGCACAGAGGAGGCCGUGUCACCAGCUGCGCCUGAGAAGCCAGGCAGCAGCGAGGGCUCCAGGUCCACGGUCACACUUCCUGUACAGGCGCAGGCCGCCCAGCCCCCGCAAGGUCCCCUGCAGGCCUCCGACCCCGUGAAGAAGGAGCCCAUUCUUGUGCAGCCGGUAGCCAGCAGCCCCAGCCCCGCAACACCCAGUGCCAGUCUGCCAGGGCCUCCAGGGACUGCUCCGUCAGCACCCAGGGCCCUUGACGGCAAGGCAGAGGCCAUAUCUUCCACUCCCUCCUUCACGGCACCCGGGCAGGCUGCUGCCACUGCCGCCACAGCUCCAAGCGCUGGCCCUGCAGCUGUGGACGCCACCUCAACCUCCAGACCUGAUAGCAGUGCUCCUGGCCCCACUGCAGAGACGGCGGUGUUUGGAGCCGUCACCUCCAGCUCCUCUGUCUUCACUCAGCCGCCUGCCGCCAGCGCCAGCUCAGCGUUCAGCCAGCUCACCAGCAGCACAGCCACGGCCCCCUCUGGCGCCCCAGUGUUCGGCCAGGUGGCGGCCAGCACAGCACCAAGUCUGUUUGGGCAGCAGACAGGCGGCACGGCCACCACGGCACCUCAGGUCAGCAGCUCAGGGUUUGGCAGCCCAAGCUUUGGUGUUUCGGGGCCAACCGUCUUCAGCCAGCCGGCUUUCGGGCAGGCUCCAACCUUCGGCCUGGCGACCACCACCCCCGCCAGCGGCUUCUCCUUCAGCCAGCCCAGGUUCAGCUCCGUGCCUGCCUUCGGCCAGCCUGCCGCCACCCCUGCGUCCACAAGCAGCGGCCUCUUCGGGGCCUCAUCAAGCACCAGCAGCGCCAGCUCGUUCUCCUUCGGGCAGUCCUCUGCCGGCACCAGAGUGGGGCUGUUCGGCCAGAGCAACCUUCCUGCCUUUGGCUUUGGGCAGAGCGGCUCUAUGUUCGGAGGUACCGCAGCCACCACCUCCACAGCCGCACCUUCAGUCUUCAGCUUUAGUCAAGCUUCAGGUUUUGGAUCUAGUAACACCGGUUCUUUGUUUGAUCAGAUAGCCAGCACUGGCGGGCACCUCUUCGGCCAGCCAUCCACUUCUGGCGGGGGCUUGUUCGGGUCUGGAAACACCGGAAGGGGCGGAGGCUUCUUCAGUGGCCUUGGAGGGAAACCCAGCCAGGAUGCAGCCAACAAGAAUCCAUUCGGCUCGACCAGUGGAGGCUUUGGAUCCUCAGCCGCCCCGAAUACCUCUAACCUGUUCGGAAACAGUGGGGCCAAGAGCUUCGGAGGGUUUGCCGGCUCGUCCUUCGGAGAGCAGAAGCCGGCGGGCACUUUCAGCUCCGGAGGAGGAAGUGUGGCGUCGCAAGGCUUCGGGUUUUCUGCGCCGAAUAAAACAGGUGGCUUCGGUGCUGCUCCAGUGUUUGGCAGCCCUCCUACUUUUGGGGGAUCCCCUGGGUUUGGAGGGGUGCCAGCAUUCGGUUCAGCCCCAGCCUUUACAAGCCCUCUGGGCUCGACGGGAGGCAAAGUGUUCGGAGAGGGCACUGCGGCUGCCAGCGCGGGAGGAUUUGGGUUCGGGAGCGGCAGCAGCACCACGUCCUUCGGCACCCUUGCCGGUCAGAACCCUCCUACUUUCGGGUCCCUGUCCCAGCAGAGCCCAGGUUUUGGGAGCCAGAGUGGCAGCGGCUUCUCUGGUUUCGGAUCCAGCUCAGGAGCAUUCAGCUUUGGCGCCUCUAACUCGUGAGUAGCGUGGUCUCGUCUGCCGUUGAGCCCGACCCUGACAGCGCCGGACGCGGCUGGGAAGGCCCGACCGCUCUCGCUGGGCUCGGGCGUGCGGCUCCCGUGCUCCCUGACACACAAGUCUGUCCAGGGCUUCGGCGGCUGGAGAAGCUGAGCUGGCGUCCCAGUCCCUUCAGUUCCUUUGCCAUUGAAUGCGCCCGAGAGAGGAAACAGCGGAGACCAAAACAGAAGCCUGGCCACGCGCUCUGCCCCGCCCCGAGCCCCGAGCUGUUCCCCGCUGUCGGACUGCGGGGUCUGCUUCAGGCCCGAGCUCUGCGGUGUGUUCGGGCCGUGGAGAGGCUCCCGCUCCUGUUCUGGCGGCCCGGGAGGCCCAUGGGGACUGUGACCUGGCCUCCGAGAGCCGCUGUGCCCGGGCAGGGCCUGGACAGCAUCGCGGAGGGUCAGUGCAGCUCCUGAGCAGUGCCCACCGCCUGGCAGAGGUGACGGUGCAGUGUCAGCUCCACAGCCGCUGUGUGAAGGUGACCUUGGGGACCGCACCUGACCCGCCUGCUCUGACCAGCGUGGGGGACCCCAUUGUGCAGACUCCGCUGGCAGGACGGUGCGUGACGCAGCCACCCACACGGCCGUGAGAGCCUGGUUGCAGUUCUAUUAAAGCUCUGUGUCUCAGG